rnacentral:rRNA from 1 species
UUCCUUGGAAAAGGGCAUCAUAGAGGGUGAGAAUCCUGUUUGUGACCUUAUCUAUCUCCAUUAUGAAUCUCCUUCAAUGAGUCGAGUUGUUUGGGAAUGCAGCUCUAAAUGGGUGGUAAAUUCCAUCUAAAGCUAAAUAUUGGCAAGAGACCGAUAGCGCACAAGUAGAGUGAUCGAAAGAUGAAAAGAACUCUGAACAGAGAGUUAAAGAGUACGUGAAAUUGUUGAAAGGGAAGCACUUGUGACCAGACAAAUUUGCAAUUAAUCAGCCAUCAAUUUUUUGAUGGUGCACUUAAUUGCAGGUGGGUCAGCAUCAGUUAUAGCAGUGGAAAAAAGACCAAAGGAAUGUAGCUCCUCUUUGAGGAGUGUUAUAGCCUUUGGUUUAAUACUGCUUGCUAUGACUGAGGAUAGCACUUCUUGUAAGGAUGCUGACAUAAUGGUCAUAAGUGACCCGUCUUGAAACACGGACCAAGGAGUCUAACAUCUAUGCGAGUGUUUGGGUUCAAGCCCUUAUGCAAAAUGAAAGUGAAUGGAGGUGGAAACCAUUAGGUGCACCAUCGACCGAUCUUGAAGUUUUCUGAUGGAUUUGAGUAGGAGCAUAGCUGUUGGGACCCGAAAGAUGGUGAACUAUGCCUGAAUAGGGUGAAGCCAGAGGAAACUCUGGUGGAGGCUCGCAGCGGUUCUG